UGUCCUGUGUCCCAUGUCGUGCUGUGCCCCGUGUCCUGUGUCCCAUGUCCUGCUGUGUCCCUUGUCCUCCAGCAUCCCAUAUCCUGCUGCACUCCAUGUCCUGCAGGGACCCUCUGUAACUGGGUCAGGGCCCUGCAGGGACUCUGGAGGUUCCUCUUGGCUCCUGCUGCCACCCAGCUCUGUCCUGCCUGGGAGACACGAUGUCCCUGCUCCAGGUGCCGUGUCCUGCUGCAUCCUGUGUCCUACAUCUGUGUCCUGCUGCAUGUCCUGCUGCAUCCCAUCAUCUGCUCCAUCCUUGUCCUGCUGCCUCCUGUAUCCUACAUCCAUGUCCUGCUACAUCUGUGUCCUGCUGCAUCCUGUGUCCUACAUCUGUGUCCUGCUAUAUCACAUCAUCUGCUACAUCCAUGUCCUGCUGCAUCUUAUGCCCUGCUACAUCCUGUAUCCUGCUGCAUCCUGUGUCCUGCUAUAUCCAUCUCCUGCAUCCUGUGUCCUGCUGCAUCCCAUAUCCUGCAUCCUGUAUUCUGGUUUAUCCUGUGUCCUGCUGCAUCCCAUAUUCUGCUACACCCGUGUCCUGCUGCAUCCCAAACCCUGUGUCCUGUGUCUUGCUACAUCCAUGUCCUGCUGCAUCCCGUGUCCUGCUUCAUCCUGUAUCCUGCUGCAUCCAUGUGCUGUUACAUCCUGUGUUGUGCUGAAUCCCAUGUCCUGCUGCAUCCCAUGUCCUACACCCUGCGUCCUGCUUCAUCCUGUGUCCUGCUACAUCCAUGUCCUGCUGCUUCCCGUGUCCUACAUCCUUUGUCCCGCUACAUCCAUCCAUGUCCUGCUGCAUCCCAUGUCCUACAUCCCGUGUCCUGCUACAUCCAUGUCCUACUUCAUCCUGUAUCCUGCUUCAUCCCAUAUUCUGCUACAUCCCGUGUCCUGCUGCAUCCAUUUCCUGCUGCAUCCAUGUCCUGCUGCAUCCCAUGUCCUACAUCCCGUGUCCUGCUGCAUCCAUGUCCUGCUACAUCCAUGUCCUGCUGCAUCCCAUGUCCUACAUCCUGUGUCCCGCUACAUCCAUCCAUGUCC
rnacentral:lncRNA from 1 species